GCCGAAGUGGUGGAAUUGGUAGACGCGCACGCUUGAGGGGCGUGUGGGGAGACCCGUGCCGGUUCGACUCCGGCCUUCGGCACCA
rnacentral:tRNA from 1 species